rnacentral:lncRNA from 1 species
AGAAUGUGUUUGAUUGGGUGAAAUGCUCUGAGACUUUACAUCACUUGGGAAAAUGGUGCAGAUUUAGCAGGGUCAUUUCUACUUCUGUGCUUGUAUAAUAAUAGCCGUUGGCCUAAGGAUAACCCCUGGCAUAUGGGUGGGAUUCCUGGACUGCCCUGGGAAGGACUGAAUUGCUUGCCAGCUCCGGAAGGGAGGAAGGAAGAAGGCAAAGAGUCAACAUGGAUCAUAUAUAACUUUGGAAAACUCGUGUAGAAAUGUAUUAUUAAAAUAAAAAUAAUAAAAAUAAAUCUAAAAAAAAAGAU